GUGGGGUGUGGUGGGGUUGGUGUGUUGGUUGGUUUCAGCCUCUUUAGCUUUGUUCGCCCGUCCCUUUCUUUGAGGUUUCCAUUUUCUGAUUUGUUUUUGAAUUUCUGAUUUCCAUUCUCAGCUUGCCAUGUGUUACCAUUUGCGAUUUGCUGCAUGAUGACAAACAGAAUAUUGUACUUGGUAUAUAGAAACAAGCAAUGCUAAAUUGAUGGCCUUGUUUUGGGUGCUAGACCAGUAAGCUUCGCAUCAGGAGUUGCACUGUACUUGGUGUAAGGGUAUUGUGGUUCAGGUAACUUAAGAAUGGAGUUGUUGCUUUUAGGUGGCCAGAAGUAUUUUCAAGAUAGCCUGGUGGUCAGUGGUCAUAGAAUCACCUGUGACCAAAGAUACUUAUUAGGCAGCUAUCUUUCUAUAUUAUAUUCUGCACUGUUGAGAACUUAAAUGAGAGUUGGAUGUCAGGAAUUGCAUAAAAUGAGAUCUUAACAUCUUGGGCAUGUUGCUGAAAAUAUUGCAUGAUUGUUUGAAUCUUGGAGUGGCAUCUGGCAAGACAACUGCAUGAUAAAACAUUGGCAAUAUCUUGGGAUCUGCCAAAGCAACAGAUUCUAUUUUUUACAGCUUAUCUUCAAGCUAGUUAUCAAAUAAUAAUUAUAUAUAAUUUUUUACUUGGUACCCUUUCACUAUAGUUCAUGAAGAAAAAAUUGUAGUUAUUGGCCAUUCAGAAAAUCUUACUAUUACAAAAUAUGUCUAAUUGCUUUUUUAAUCCUUGUCCCUUGUCAUGUCAUAUUUGAAGUGAAACUUCCCUCUGAGAGACAGUGUACGUUGAAUAUUGUUAUACUGGUUUUUAAUAUGGUCAUCAUGGUUAGCCAGUUAGCUUUGUCUUAUGUUUCACUUUGCUUUGUAAAGAUAAUAAAUAUUAGGAAAGUCAGAACAUUCUAAUUAUUGUUGAUGAUCAGGAACUCAGAUUACUCUGCAUAUGUGCUGGUGCUUUUGUUCGUCUGUAUACAUUCAUGAAAAUUUGCAGUACUCUGUUGGUAGACAUUACCGAAAUCCUGUUAUGUUUAUGCCUUCCUGGUUUUAUGCCAAGUUUCUGAUGAACUUAUCAUUUACAUUUUUAUGUGUUCUAUUAUUAACACGUUCUUAAUUACC
rnacentral:misc_RNA from 1 species